GGUUAAAAAGCUCGUAGUUGGAUUUCUGUCGAGGGUGGCCGGUCCGCUUUUUGAGCGUGUAUCUGGUUCGGCCUUGGCAUCCUCUUGGGGAACGUAUCUGUGCUUGAUUGCAUGGUGCGGUAUUCAAGACUUUUACUUUGAGGAAAUUAGAGUGUUCACUGCAAGCGUUAGCUUUGAAUACAUUAGCAUGGAAUAAUAAUAUAGGACCUUGGUACUAUUUUGUUGGUUUCUAGAACUAAGGUAAUGAUUAAUAGGGACAAUUGGGGGCAUUCGUAUUAACACGUCAGAGGUGGAAUUCUUAGAUUGUGUUACGACGAACUACUGCGAAAGCAUUUGCCAAGGAUGUUUUCAUUGAUCAAGAACGAAAGUAUGGGGAUCGAAGACGAUUAGAUACCGUCGUAGUCUAUACCAUAAACUAUGCCAACUAGAGAUUGGAGGUCGUUCUUUUUAUGACUCCUUCAGCACCUUAUGAGAAAUCAAAGUCUUUGGGUUCCGGGGGGAGUAUGGUCGCAAGGCUGAAACUUAAAGGAAUUGACGGAAGGGCACCACCAGGAGUGGAGCCUGCGGCUUAAUUUGACUCAACACGGGAAAACUUACCAAGUCCAGACAUAGUAAAGAUUGACAGAUUGAU
rnacentral:rRNA from 1 species